GACGAACGCUGGCGGCGUGCUUAACACAUGCAAGUCGAACGGAAAGGCCUGCUUUCCCUUGUGGAUUGCGGGUACUCGAGUGGCGAACGGGUGAGUAACACGUGAGUGAUCUGCCCCCAACUUGGGUAUAAGCCUGGGAAACUGGGUCUAAUUCCCGAUAGGACUGCAGGGUGGUGCCUGUGGUGGAAAACGAUUUUCUAGUGGUUGGGGAUGAGCUCGCGGCCUAUCAGCUUGUUGGUGGGGUAAUGGCCUACCAAGGCGGCGACGGGUGGCCGGCCUGGGAGGGUGGACGGCCACAUUGGGACUGGGACACGGCCCAGACUCCUACGGGAGGCAGCAGUGGGGAAUAUUGCACAAUGGGCGGAAGCCUGAUGCAGCGACGCCGCGUGGGGGAUGACGGCCUUCGGGUUGUAAACUCCUUUCGACCGCGAGGAAGCCACCUGGUUGGAAGGGUGGUGACGGUAGUGGUAGAAGAAGCACCGGCUAACUACGUG
rnacentral:rRNA from 1 species